GCGAACGUGGCGGAACUGGUAGACGCGCCAGAUUUAGGAUCUGGUGGGCUAGCGCUCGUGGGGGUUCGAGUCCCCCCGUUCGCACCA
rnacentral:tRNA from 1 species